rnacentral:rRNA from 1 species
GACAGAGGGUGCAAGCGUUGUUCGGAAUUAUUGGGCGUAAAGGGCGCGUAGGCGGCAUUGCAAGUCGGAUGUGAAAGCCCUGGGCUUAACCCAGGAAGUGCAUCCGAUACUGCUUUGCUUGAGUGUCGGAGAGGGUGGUGGAAUUCCCAGUGUAGAGGUGAAAUUCGUAGAUAUUGGGAGGAACACCCGUGGCGAAGGCGACCACCUGGACGGCCACUGACGCUGAGGCGCGAAAGCGUGGGGAGCAAACAGG